rnacentral:rRNA from 1 species
UACAGAGGGGGCAAGCGUUGUUCGGAAUUACUGGGCGUAAAGGGCGCGUAGGCGGCCUUCUAAGUCGAACGUGAAAUCCCCGGGCUCAACCCGGGAACUGCGUCCGAUACUGGAAGGCUUGAAUCCGGGAGAGGGAUGCGGAAUUCCAGGUGUAGCGGUGAAAUGCGUAGAUAUCAGGAGGAACACCGAUUGCGAAGGCAGCUCGCUGGGACGGUACUGACGCUGAGGCGCGAAAGCGUGGGGAGCGAACAGG